UACGGAAGGCAGCAGUGGGGAAUAUUGCACAAUGGGCGCAAGCCUGAUGCAGCAACGCCGCGUGAGGGACGACGGCCUUCGGGUUGUAAACCUCUUUUAGUAGGGAAGAAGCGAAAGUGACGGUACCUGCAGAAAAGCACCGGCUAACUACGUGCCAGCAGCCGCGGUAAUACGUAGGGUGCAAGCGUUAUCCGGAAUUAUUGGGCGUAAAGAGCUCGUAGGCGGUUUGUCGCGUCUGCUGUGAAAACUGGAGGCUCAACCUCCAGCCUGCAGUGGGUACGGGCAAACUAGAGUGCGGUAGGGGAGAUUGGAAUUCCUGGUGUAGCGGUGGAAUGCGCAGAUAUCAGGAGGAACACCGGAUGGCGAAGGCAGAUCUCUGGGCCGUAAACUGACGCUGAGGAGCGAAAGCAUGGGGAGCGAACAGGGAUUAGAUACC
rnacentral:rRNA from 1 species